rnacentral:lncRNA from 1 species
GGGGCCAGGAAGUGAGAGCCGAGGAUGAGUCCCGCCCGGGAGGUGGUGUAAAGGCUGCAGGGAGGCCCCGAACAUGUGGAAUCCCAAUGCCGGACAGCCAGGGCCUCAUCCAUAUCCCCCUAACAUCGCGUACCCUGGAGGUGCCAAUCCUGCCCAUCCGCCACCUGUGAAUCCCGCCUACCCCCCGGGCCCCUAUCCAACUCCCCCAGGGGCUCCCCAGGGGAAUCCAGCUUUUCCCCCUGGCGGGCCCCCUUAUCCUGCGCCACAACCAGGGUACCCCGGAUGCCAACCCACGGGUCCCUACCCACCUCCCUACCCACCACCUGUUCCUGGCACGCCUCUUGUGAAUCCCUUGCCACCUGGCAUGGGGGGACCGGGAAUGGUGAUGGACAAGAAGAUGCGGAAGAAAAUGAAGAAAGCUCAUAAAAAGACGCACAAACACCACAAGCAUGGCAAGCUGACUGCAACUGCUGCCCAGCCCUAGGAGAAGCCAUGCUAUUGUUAGUAAAGGAUGAAGUGACUUCUUGAACAGCUACUCACUUUCACCCGAGCUCUCAGGGUCUCUGGAAUAUAAAU